CAAGAGAUUUCACAUACAGGUAUUCCGAUAUAUCUAUCGGGAUAAAAAGGAAAUCCCAACUUCAACGAAUUUCUGAUGGUAAUGAAUGCGUUAUUCCUUACCGUCAGAAAUGAGAAGGAAAGGGAACGGUACCGCCGCUGUAUCCGGUGACGAACGUUGCAAGAGCCACUGGAAAGCCGUUUCAACGGUUUAAACUGAUUGAACGGUUUUCCGGGAAGGUGCAACCAGUAGGGUGAUCCGCAAGUCAGAAGACCUGCCUGUAAUGUAUGCUGAAA
rnacentral:ncRNA from 2 species